UCUAAGAAACUGAAAGUAGUCCUGUUUUUUUUUUUUUUAGAUGAAAAGUAAAUGUGUGAGUCAUUUGGCUGGUAAUAAGACGGAGGUUUUAAGUCCUGGAAGGCUGACAGAAAGAUUGACCUCUAAAAAUGGUAGAAUUGUGGUGGAAACUUCGAGCGUAAAUUUGAUUUGGUGUAGAGUGGGAGGUUCAAGUUCAGAAGGACACCCUGAAACUAAAGUAGUUGCAGGAGAUUCAGAAGGAGACCCUGAAGCUAAAGUAGUUGCAGGAAGUUCAGAAGGAGACUCUGAAACUAAAGUCGUUGCAGGAAGUUCAAAAGGAGACCCUGAAACUAAAGUUGUUGCAGGAAGUUCAGAAGGAGACCCUGAAACUGAAGUCAUUGCAGGAGGUUCAGAAGGAGACCCUGAAACUAAAGUAGCUGCAGGAGGUUCAGAAGGAGACCCAGAAACUGAAGUAGCUGCAGGAGGUUCAGAAGGAGACCCUGAAAC